GCUUGUCUCAAAGAUUAAGCCAUGCAUGUCGAAGUAUAAACGACUUUAUACUGUGAAACUGCGAAUAUCUCAUUAUAUCAGUUAUAGUUAAUUUGAUGGUCUUUGCUACUUUGGAUAACCGUAGUAAUUCAAGAGCUAAUACAUGCAUUGAACCCCGACUUCUGGAAGGGUGUAUUUAUUAGAUGGAAACCAAUGCGGGGUAUCCCGAAAUAUGGUAAUUCAUAAUAACUUUCGGACCGAUUUAUCGAUGCAUCAUUCAAGUUUCUGCCCUAUCAGCUUUGGAUGGUAGGGUAUUGGCCUACUAUGGCCUUAUUGGGUAACGGAGAAUUAGGGUUCCAUUCCGGAGAGGGAGCCUGAGAAAUGGCUACCACAUUCAAGGAAGGCAGCAGG
rnacentral:rRNA from 1 species